rnacentral:rRNA from 1 species
AUGGCUUCGAUUGCGCCGUCGUCUUCGUCCGUCGCCGUGCUUCGCCGCCAACCGGUGCAGUUCUUGGGAGGCAGUGAUGUGUCCAAGCAGGCAAAGGGAUCAGUUUCUUAUUCUUUUCCCACAAAUUCGAGAAAUGCCAACAUGAAGUCUCUGGGCUUGAAGAUAGCAGCAUCCUUAAAAAAGAAUAGUGGAUUUCCAGCUGAUGGUUGCUUGGAAAAUGAUGACACACUGUCGUUAAAGAGCACUUCUGUGCGAGCCCAGGACCAUCCAACCACAAACUCUGUUAUUCCUGUGGAUUCUGUUGUUGCAGCAGAAAUCAUAUCUACUGAUCUGUCAUGUGUCGUGGACACAUUGUCAAACGAAGAAGACGAUGCUGAACUUGAUCUGGAUAGUCCGACCGAGGGCUUCUCAUCGAUUUCGGAGGCUAUUGAGGACAUUCGACAAGGAAAACUUGUGAUUGUCGUUGAUGACGAAUCAAGAGAAAAUGAAGGUGAUCUUAUAUUGGCUGCUUCUUUGGUUACCCCAGAGGCUAUGGCUUUCAUAGUAAGGCAUAGCACAGGAAUUGUGUGUGUUAGCAUGAAAGAAAAUGAUCUGGAAAGAUUGAACCUUCCUUUGAUGGUUUCAACAAAGGAAAAUGAGGAGAAGCUAUGUACUGCUUUCACCAUUACUGUGGAUGCUAAAGAAGGCACAACAACUGGGGUAUCUGCAAAGGAUAGGGCAAAGACAGUCAUGACUCUUGCAUCCCCUUACUCAAAGCCUGAAGAUUUCAAUCGGCCUGGCCAUAUUUUCCCUCUGAAGUACAGAGACGGGGGUGUUCUCAAACGAGCUGGACACACUGAAGCAUCUGUUGAUCUUGCUGUGCUGGCUGGGUUACCUCCUGUUGGAGUACUCUGUGAGAUUGUGGAUGAGGAUGGCUCCAUGGCUCGCUUACCCAAGCUGCGCUUGUUUGCUGAAAAGAAUAAUUUGAAGAUCGUAUCGAUUGCUGACUUGAUUAGAUAUAGGAGAAAAAGAGACAGACUAAUUGAACGUGCAUCUGUUGCACGCAUACCUUUGAGAUGGGGCAAUGUCCGUGCUUACUGCUACAGAUCUGUUAUUGAUGGGAUCGAGCAUAUCGCAAUGGUGAAAGGUGAGAUUGGAGAUGGUCAAGAUAUUCUUGUGAGGGUCCAUUCUGAGUGUCUCACAGGAGACAUUUUUGGAUCAGCAAGAUGUGAUUGUGGUGACCAGCUUGCAAUGUCAAUGGAGAGGAUUGAGAAGGCCGGAAGGGGUGUACUAGUUUAUCUUCGUGGGCAUGAAGGGAGGGGUAUUGGUCUGGGUCACAAGCUUCGUGCUUAUAACUUACAAGACGAUGGACGUGACACUGUGGAGGCUAAUGAGGAACUAGGACUGCCUGUGGACUCGAGGGAAUAUGGGAUCGGUGCACAGAUAUUACGCGAUCUAGGAGUCCGUUCAAUGAAGUUGAUGACUAACAAUCCUGCCAAAUAUGUUGGUCUGAAGGGUUACGGGUUGAGCAUUGUGGGUAGGGUGCCCUUGGUAACUCCAAUAACCACUGAGAAUCAGAGAUACUUGGAGACCAAAAGAACGAAAAUGGGGCAUGUAUACUCCAAUUGA